CCUAGCCCUUCAGAGGGGGACAACAGUUGGAAACGACUGCUAAUACCGCAUACGAUCCAAUCUCGGCAUCGAGACUGGACGAAAGGUGGCCUCUAUUUAUAAGCUAUCACUGAAGGAGGGGAUUGCGUCUGAUUAGCUAGUUGGAGGGGUAACGGCCCACCAAGGCGAUGAUCAGUAGCCGGUCUGAGAGGAUGAACGGCCACAUUGGGACUGAGACACGGCCCAG
rnacentral:rRNA from 1 species